rnacentral:rRNA from 1 species
GAAGUCUAAGUCGGAGGUGAAAUCUUGCCGCUUAACGGUAAAAGGGCCUUCGAAACUGGAUUUCUUGAGUUCGGAAGAGGUCGGUGGAAUUCGUGGUGUAGCGGUGAAAUGCAUAGAUAUCACGAAGAACACCAGUGGCGAAGGCGGCCGACUGGUCCGAUACUGACGCUGAGGCACGAGAGCGUGGGGAGCGAACAGGAUUAGAUACCCUGGUAGUCCGCGCUGUAAACGAUGCAUGCUAGUUGUUGUCCGUUCGCGGGCAGUGACGCAGUUAACGCAGUAAGCAUGCCACCUGGGGAGUACGUUCGCAAGAAUGAAACUCAAAGGAAUUGACGGGGGCCCGCACAAGCGGUGGAGCAUGUGGCUUAAUUCGAUGCAACGCGAAGAACCUUACCCAGGCUAAAUCUGCGGUGACUGCUCCUGAAAGGGAGCUUCCCUUCGGGGCACCGCAGAAGGUGCUGCAUAGCUGUCGUCAGCUCGUGCCGUGAGGUGUUGGGUUAAGUCCCGCAACGAGCGCAACCCCUGUGGUUAGUUACCAGCACGUGAUGGUGGGGACUCUAGCCAGACUGCCUACGCAAGUAGUGAGGAAGGUGGGGAUGACGUCAAGUCAUCGUGGCCCUUACGUCUGGGGCUGCACACGUGCUACAAUGGACGGUCCAACGGGAAGCGACCGCGCGAGCGGCAGCAGAUCCCCAAAACCGUUCCCAGUUCGGAUUGGAGUCUGCAACUCGACUCCAUGAAGCCGGAAUCGCUAGU